rnacentral:tmRNA from 1 species
UGACUAUGGCGAUAAACGGUAAUCGUAAUAAACCUUUCGGACCCGGGGGCAGUACCCGGCGCCUCCACCACCGACCGCCCGUCCGACCCCUUCCCGGGCGGCCGGUGAUGGGGGCGAAAUAGGAUCGACGAGGGCGUAAAGGGUUGCUUUUUGCUCGUGAUGGUACCGACGUUAUCGGGCUAAACUUAUAGUUGCCAACGACAACUAUGCUCCGGUCGCGGUGGCUGCGUAAGCAGCCUGAGCAACCGAAAUCAAAGUCCUUGGGCUUAGCCGCUUAAGGCGGGGUUCGCCGGCACCUGGCAACAGAAG